CACCAGACUCCUACGGGAGGCAGCAGUGGGGGAUAUUGCACAAUGGGGGGAACCCUGAUGCAGCGACGCCGCGUGGGUGAAGAAGCGCCUCGGCGCGUAAAGCCCUGUCAGCAGGGAAGAAAAUGACGGUACCUGAAGAAGAAGCCCCGGCUAACUACGUGCCAGCAGCCGCGGUAAUACGUAGGGGGCAAGCGUUAUCCGGAUUUACUGGGUGUAAAGGGGGCGCAGACGGCGAUGCAAGCCAGGAGUGAAAGCCCGGGGCCCAACCCCGGGACUGCUCUUGGAACUGCAUGGCUGGAGUACUGGAGAGGCAAGCGGAAUUCCUAGUGUAGCGGUGAAAUGCGUAGAUAUUAGGAGGAACACCAGUGGCGAAGGCGACUUUCUGGACUGUACCUGACGCUGAGGCGCGAAAGCGUGGGUAGCGAACGGGAUUAGAUACCCUCGUAG
rnacentral:rRNA from 1 species